rnacentral:lncRNA from 1 species
UCUUAUUUAAUUUAGGGAUUUCGUUGCCAUCCUCAAUGGUUUUGAUGGUUCCUCCUUCACUUUCAAAGAGGAUGUCGGGCUGCAGGGGAAGAGGGAGUGGAAGAAAAUUCAUAGCUAGGGUACACUAAGAGGGAGUUUAUGUGCGAUUUCUCAAUCAUAUUAAUUAGCUAGCGGUGGAAUUGGGAGCAGAAUAAGGGAGGAAUCCAACAAUCAAAUUAACGCCGUCACUGAGAACAAAGUUAAAUUUGACUCUCACUACUUGAGUAGAAUUUAUGUUUUAAAUUCUUUGAGAUAUUUUUGGGAAGAAAUGAGUUGAUCUUGGAAUAGGGACAUUUUCUUGAAAUCAGAUUAGAACCAGAAGUAAAAACAAAAAAAAUGGAGAGUGAGAUCUGAGGAUAAAAAGAAGAUCGGACAAAACGAUGGAAUUAUCGUGUGGACAACUAUGAGGAGAGGACAUAAGAGAUAUGCUAAAAACAUAGGAGGAAAAUUGAAAGGAUGAGAACAGGAGAGGGAUAGGAAAUUUAAAAAAAAGGGAAAUUGUGGUCUGAAUCUGAUAUCUAUUUGGGAAUUAUUAUUCUGUUAUCUUU